rnacentral:misc_RNA from 1 species
UGGGAGAACCAAGAGAUCCGUUGUCGAAAGUUGUGUAUAGUUUGUUGGCCAGUGACGGUCCAACCAAGUUCCACGUUCAUACUAACCAUUCGAGUUUGUAGCGAAGAAAGACCCCAAGAGAGGCUACAAAAAACUUCUCUGAAGCCUUUCUCCAAGACAGUGCACACGGGUUUGUGGAUGUAUAGUGGGUGUAGGCGGCCAGGGACACUUUUUGGCGUCCGUAUGGCCUGCCCAAAUCUUCACUAAUGAUCCUUCUGC